UACGUAGGCAGCGAGCGUUGUUCGGAGUUACUGGGCGUAAAGAGCGUGUAGGCGGUUUGGUAGGUCCGCUGUGAAAACUCGAGGCUCAACCUCGAGACGCCGGUGGAAACCAUCAGGCUAGAGUCCGGAAGAGGAGAGUGGAAUUCCUGGUGUAGCGGUGAAAUGCGCAGAUAUCAGGAAGAACACCCGUGGCUAAGGCGGCUCUCUAGUACGGUACUGACGCUGAGACGCGAAAGCGUGGGGAGCGAACAGG
rnacentral:rRNA from 1 species